rnacentral:lncRNA from 10 species
GCAGAAGACUUGUCUCUUGGCGAGGGACGGGCGCCGCUGACCCAGCACGUCCAGGACCAGUCCGUCGGCGGCCCCCACGCGGGUCCUGGGCUCCAGCUCUUCGCCGGGGGGCGCCUCCUGCUGUUCAUCCCCUCCCUCUUUUCGAUCCCCAGCUUCCUCCUCUUCCUCCUCCAGCUCCAACUGCAGUGGCAAGGUCUGGGGAUUGAGAGGCCCGGCAUGACUAAGAGAUAUCGUGAAAUUACAACUCAACAAUGAAUUACAGCACAGGCUUUUCACAACUAAGAGACUGUCCAUCAUGGUGCCAGUUUUUCUCAAAAUGGCAUGUGUGCAUGAAAUUCUACAGGCAUAUGGGGUCGUGAUCUGCUAAUCUCCAGUUAUUAUACAAAACUACAGAUACUUGAAAACAGAACCAAAUAAAAAUUCUAGCAGAAGAAGACAAUAUAUGAAAUUUAAUAAUUCAUUUCCUGGGAAUGACAGCAGAAAGGUGAUGACAGAGGAAAGAGCCAAUAAAAUUUGAAGACAGACUACUUUGAAAAGGGACUUUCCAGCUAUCAGUACACUAUCUCACAAUUACCCUUGAACCAGAAGACAAUGAAUGAUUUGCUAAACAGAUGGCAUAGUCUAUGACAUGCAUCAUAUGUGUGAGCAAUCACAGAAGACUCCUUCCUGUUGCCUUGUGAAGAAGGCUCCUGCUUCCCCUUCACCUUCUGCGCGAUUGUAAGUUUCCUGAGGCCUCCUAGCCAUGCUUCUUGUUCACUCUGCGGAACUGUCCUGAGCUGAAAAGAAUAUGAGAAAUCGGAUUUUACGACAUACCAAAUUAUGAUUGUAUGUCCCAGAAAUUCACUUAGAAGCUAAUAGAAAAAAUGAAACCAAAGCCUUUUGAGAGUUGAAAAUUUAUCAUGACAUAUGCUGGCUGCACAGUCAAAACUUAUCACUGCCCACGACUUCGGAAGCAUGACAGGAGAGCUGUGGGAGCCACUUCCUCGUCAGACGUGGUUUGAUAUGUCAAGUGAGAACCUGAGUAAAGCAAAGAGGUGAACUAUGACUUGGAAUCCUCCAGGCUUUGGCUUCCAUCACACUCCAUGAACUUGAUGCACAUAAUUUAAUG